AUUGAACGCUGGCGGCAGGCCUAACACAUGCAAGUCGAGCGAGCGGCGGACGGGUGAGUAAUGUAUGUGGAUCUGCCCGAUAGAGGGGGAUAACUACUGGGAACGGUUACUAAUACCGCAUACUAUCGGAUGAACCCAUAUGGGAUUCUGUAGUAGGUAGGGGAAAGGAUCACCUAGGCGACGAUCUCUAGCUGGUCUGAGAGGAUGAUCAGUCACACUGGGACUGAGACACGGCCCAGACUCCUACGGGAGGCAGCAGUGGGGAAUAUUGCACAAUGGGCGAAAGCCUGAUGCAGCCAUGCCGCGUGUAUGAAGAAGGCCUUAGGGUUGUAAAGCACUUUCAGCGGGGAGGCGUUACCAGCAGAAUAAGCACCGGCUAACUCCGUGCCAGCAGCCGCGGUAAUUC
rnacentral:rRNA from 1 species